rnacentral:rRNA from 1 species
UACGGAGGGGGCUAGCGUUAUUCGGAAUUACUGGGCGUAAAGCGUGCGUAGGUGGUUUGUUAAGUCUGAUGUGAAAGCCCUGGGCUCAACCUGGGAAUUGCAUUGGAUACUGGCAGGCUAGAGUGCGGUAGAGGGUAGUGGAAUUCCCGGUGUAGCAGUGAAAUGCGUAGAUAUCGGGAGGAACACCAGUGGCGAAGGCGACUACCUGGACCAGCACUGACACUGAGGCACGAAAGCGUGGGGAGCAAAUAGG